UAUAUAUACACACACACACACACACACACACACACACACACAUACACAUACAUAUACUUAGCAAGAAUACUUCUAGUGUUUGUCUAAAAGUACAAAUUUGAGGGGGCACGUGGGUGGCUCAGUAGGUUAAGCAUCUGACUCUUGAUUCUGGCUUAGGUCAUGAUCUCACUCUUCAUGGGAUGGGGCUCUGCGCUGACAGUGUGGAGCCUGCUUGGGAUUCUCUCUCUCCCCUCUCUGCCCCUCCCCUGCUCGUGCAUAUACACUCUCUCUCUCUCUCAAAAUAAACUUAAAACAAUUUUUUUAAAAUAAAAGUACAAAUUUGACUCAGUGUAAGAUAUUCUUAAUUUAUAUAUUAUAAAGUUAUAUCUUCUCUUUCUAGUUUGCUGAAAGGUUUAUCAGUGAUGGAUGUUAGGAUUUUACUAAAUUUCUUUUCUGCACAUCUGUCGAGAUGAUGAAAUGGUUUUUACCAUGACCUAAGAUGAAUCAUUUCAAUAGACUUACUGAUGUUGAGCCCUCUGUGCAUUUCUAGAAAAACCUGGGUUAGUCAUGGUAUAUUACUCUUUUAAUGUAGAUCUCCACUCAGUGUUAACAGUGGUUAUUUAUGAUGGGUUAGUUUAUGGUAGAUUUUUGCUCUGUGUUCUUAUCUGUAUUUUCUGAUUUUUCUACAAGUCUUGUGUAUUACUUGUAUAAUAAGAAUAAGAGCUUUAAAAUAAGAAAAAUAUCCCAAACUUGGUUUGCUCAUAUCUUGGAAUUUUUCAUAUGUUAAGAUGGAUAGUUGUAUAAUUGUUUUUCUCCUUUGUCAGGUACUGUUAACUGACAGUUUAUGUUAACUUCUUUUAAAAACAAACAAAAUGGCGCCUGGCUGGCUCAGUGGGUAGGACAUGUGACUUGAUCUCGGGGUUGUGAGUUUGAGCCCCACAUUGGGCAUAGAGCUUACUUUAAAACAAACAAAUAAGAACUUGGAGAGUUCUUGCUCUCUUUUUUUUAUGCCCUGGACACAGUUUAAAUAAUAUUUAGGAUUUUUUGCUCCUUGAAGUUUUUAUAACCUGUGUAAAACUGUCCCAAGUUUAGUGCCUUUUUAGGAAAUAAUUCUUUGACAUUUUUUCCAGUAUUUUCCAGGCUCAUUGGUCUCUUCAAACUUUCUUCCUAUUCUGUGAGUUUUGGGCCAUUUAACUCCUAAAUAAAGAUUGUUAAGAUUUUCCUAUUUGCCAGUGUGGAGUUGUUGUAUUCUUCUUUCUCAUUCAUGACGUUGGGUGUCUGUUCUUUCCCUUUAUUUGUAUGCAUGUUCCCAGGAUUAUUCUAUUUCAUCAGUCUUUUCAAAGAACUUAAAUCCUAAUUUACUCCACCAUUUUAUGAUUUUUUGUUACUUCCUUUAUUUUUUCACCUUCUCAAAUUGAAUGCCAUUUUAAUUUUUUCUUGUUUAAAUAAUGGACACAGGUACUGGCAGUUGUAAGGCUGUGACUUCUCUUCUGAAUAUUUCCUUAUCCAUAUCCCUCAGAUUUUUAGGCAGGGUGUUCUAAGGUAUAAAUAAUUUGUAAUUUCAGAUUUGACUUUAUUUUUUACCGGAGAGUUAUUUGAAAUUAUGUUUUUUAAUUUCCAGAUAAUUUUAUAUUUGCUGUUGUUGUUUUUAACAUUUGUUACAAAUUUCAAGUUUAACGGCUUUGCUGUCAAAGAGGGGAUGGCCUGUACAAUUUCUGCAUUUUGGAGUUUUACUGAUAUCUUCUUGGGACCCAGCAAAUUGUCAAUUUUAAUAUUCCUAGGAAAAUGGAAAAGAAGGUAUGUUCUCUGAAGGGAACAAAAUUCAGUCUGUAUGUGUUAAUUUGACCUUAUUACUUAUAAUAUCAUGGACCAUUAAUUUUUACUUACUUGAUUCGUUAAAGACUAAGGAAAAUGAGUCUCCCACUACUGUUGAAUUUCUAUUUUUCUUCUGUUUCUAAUGGUUUUUGCUUUAUGUAUUUCAGUAUAGAUGUUAUUCGGCAAAUUAUCUUUUUUAUAUUUAAGGGGGAAAUUUUUCCCUUUGAAGACUUCUAUACCUUUGUGAGUUUUACCUGAUUUUGUUGUAACGGAGUUGUUUACGUAGAAAUACAUAGUUCAGUAAAAUGUUUGUGUCUGUUUUUCAGUCAACAAAAAUCUUUCAGGAUUUCAAAAAUCCUUUGUGUCUUAAGAAGGUAUUUUGGAAGCUCUUGAUCUCCCCGAGGAUAGGUUUAUGUUCUCUGGGGUCACUUUCUGAGCCAAAAGCAAGGAUGGCGAUGUGCUUUUGGUGGAACAGAAUGAGAGCUUUUGAGUACGCCAACGUUUCCGAUUCUCGGUUUGGGGCAAACGCAUACUUGGAUAUGCUUAGCAGACACCUUCCCUUCAGGGGGUCACAUUUUGCCUCCAUGGGGCCCAUAGCACAGCUGUUCUCAACCCAAGAGGCACGUUUCUUCUGCGGGGCUAGCCUUCGGAGCAGAGGGCAGCAGAGAGUAGAGACGCUUGUGUUCCUGGCCGUUUGGGGGGCGGGGGGGGCGGGUGUGCUAAUCUCAGAGACUCAUUCUGUCAGAAAAGAUUUUUCCAGAGCAGUUUGAACAGAUUACUCACAUGGCAAAGUCUGUGUCAAGCAGAGAACCAGCUUUUCCCAAACAAACGUAGGAGGUGUGGAUCUCAACCCACAGCUCAGGAGCGAAAUUAGUAAGACCUUCUCUCUUUUCCCUUCAUUCAAGUUAAUGAAUUUCUGUUUUGAGUCCACAUUCUGUCAAGCCCAUGCAAUUUGACCUGGGUCAAUUCCGGGACCCCCUUUUCUCCAGUUUGAGUCUUCAGAGGUUGUGGGGGGGGCUUGUGUAUCUUUCAAGGUAUUGGGGGGGGAGCUAGUGUUCCUGCCCCUGCCCCACUCUGCCACGCACCCUGCUCCCUCUGUGACAUGCUUGCGUGCUCGGGAGUUCAAGAAUUACGCAGACGUUCCUGUGCAGCAGAAGUCUCCCCAAGGCUGUCCUGGGCCCUGUCUGCAGCCAUCCUAUUUGACAGCCAGGGUUUCAGGUAGAGGGUGGCUGAACGUGAAGGGUCCGCAGGACAGGCCAGACGUGUUGGCACGGAGUGCGCUGCCGAGCGGAAGCGGCUCUGUGGCUCCUGGCGCCUGCUUGUUGGCUUGACGGCCUGUCUGCAGGCACCGGCAGUUAGCUUGUGGGUUAGCCCGUGACCCUGACCGUGACCAGAGCCACCUCCCGGAGGGGCCUCCCGCUGCCGCAUCAGGUCCUGUGUGUUCUCUCUCCGGGGCGUUUGGCCAGGUUGGCCUUGCUCUUGACUUACUCCUCCAUGACUCUGAGGUUUUCCCUCCCGAUCCUGUCUUAACUUCUCACUGUUCUACCUCCUUCCUCUCCUCCUCCCGCUCUGGAGUGUUGGGGUCUCCACGGCUCUGGCCCAGACCAUCUUCCCUCGAGACUGUCCCCCAGCGUUUCAGGGCGUCCAUGGUUGAUUCCGUCAGCCGCUGCUGUGCACCUGGCCUGUGUCCCCGCGGCCCCUGCACAGAUCAGCUGCCGUCCUCCAGCACCGCCAUCCUCUCCUCCGUCCCGGCCCCUCUCAUGAUCUUGGGUUCCUCCCUCGGGCCAACCAGCGUCUUCACCCCUGCCCUGCUGCUGGUCUCCUUUGGCCCAGAGCUCCUUCAUGCUCUGGUUUCUCAUGUGGGCUGGUGUCCAGAGGCCUCUUCCCAAAGCUGGAGGCAUCGGUUCUUGCCCCACCUCCCCACAUCUGCAGGGCCUCCCCGGGCACCUGGCCCGCCUAACUAUGCUGUUCCUGUUCUUCCUCUGCUGCCUGGAACCUUCCCUGUGCCCACCCCGCUCUUCCCGCAGCCAGCCCGCGAACUCAAAGGUGGGACUCACAGACCUCCCACAGGUGUUCCCCCUGUUGGAGGGAAGACCAUGUGUUGCGGUGCUAAUGGAACCCAGCCGAUGGGGGGUCUGUGUCGCCAAGAGCAGGGGCAAGAGCACAGCCAGCUUGUCUAGAAGCGAAGGGCCCAGGCCACUCUGAAGACCCUCAGACCCCUGAGACGUCAGGCUCGAGGGCUCCCCGCUUGGAAGGAACCCGCAAUGACUACACCUGCUGCACGCCUCCCUCCCCACAGCCUGUGCGCGCUGGCCGUCUGGUUUGCAGACCGCAUGCUUCUGGGCUACCUGGGCUGUCCAGGCCAUCCCAGAAGAACCUCCUGGAUGAGCACCUUUGCAGUCUGGGCCUGGCAGCGUGCAUUCCAGCAAGCUCCUUGUGCUGGACAAGACACUGGCUCCCCAAAGACGGCCUCAUCCCAGUCCCUGCCACCUGUCACUGUGUGGCAGAAGGGACCUUGCAGAUGAACCUUGAAUGGGGAGAUUCUCUUGGACUAUCUGGGUGGGCCCAGUCCCAUCCCACGAGGUCCUAAAAACAGAGACCUUUGCUGGCUGGGGUCAGAAGGAGACGUGAUGGCCAAAGACUCAGAUGAGGUCCUGCCGACUUCGAAGAGGAACGAAGGGGCCACAGCCCGUGAACGCAGGUGACGCAGGCCAGGAAACAGCCUCCCCUCUAGAGCCUUCGGAAAGGAACACGACCCCGCCGACACCCUGGUGUUAGCCUGGCGAGGCCCCCGUCGGACUUGGGACUUACAGAACGGAUCCUGCCUCCGCUAGCCUUGUGAUAUGUGCUGACGGGCGCCUUACAGGAGUCCACGGUACCCACUCAUAGGACCACAGCUGUGAUUCAGUGCCACUAAAGAUGAAAAAGCAAAUCCUCCAAGUGGAAAUGAGAGGACACACAGGCAGUCCCCCGUUCUUAAAUGGCACGUGUCCUAAGAAUCUGUUUCAAUGUGAUUAUUUUAAACUCAGCUCCUCAUAUUACAAUAGUAUUUCCAGUCAUAACUACAUGACCAUAUGCAACCUACAAACACCUGAAAAAUUCUACUAAAAACUGUAUUUUAACUAAACUUAACCAUUCUUAAGGUGUGUUACCUUUUUUUUUCCUUUUUUUUAAUUUUAGAGAAAGUGUGAGCAGGAGGGGGACAAAGAGGAAGAAUCUGAAGCAGGUUCCAUCUCAGCACAGAGCCCGACUCAGGGCUCCAUCCCACAACCCUGGGCUCAUGACCUGAGCCGAAAUCAAGAUCGGACACUCAACCAACUGAGCCACUCAGGUGCACCUUUUAUGUAUUAAGGAAGUUUUUGGUGGUUUUUGUUUUUGUUUUUUUAAGUUUUAUUUUUGUUUCUUUUGAGAGAGAGAGCACCGGGGAGGGACAGAGACAGAGAAUCCCAAACAGACUCAACACCAUCAGUGCAGAGCCUGAUGCGGGGCCCAAACCUCCAAACGCCACUGGUAUCUAUAUAAACACGCAAGAAAUGAAUCACUGUGUGGUCGAGAGCCUUAUCUUGAGUGGAGGAAUCCUUGAGUGGGGAGAGGAGAGCCGCUGGGCUGCCCACCCGUCUGUUCCUGAGACAGGCCCUCC